GGGUAGCUCAGUGGCAGAGCACCUGCUUGGCAUGCAGAAGGUCCCAGGUUCAAUCCCUGCCAGCAUCU